rnacentral:tRNA from 1 species
GGAGAGAUGGCCGAGUGGUUCAAGGCGUAGCACUGGAACAGCUAUGUAGGCUUUUGUUUACCGAGGCGCUUUUUGCCCUCUCUUUCCG